GCCCCGUUCGUCCAACGGCAGGAUAGCGGGCUUUCAAUCCGCAGAUGGGGGUUCAAUUCCCCUACGGGGUA
rnacentral:tRNA from 1 species